CUAAUAUAUUGACUACAACUUCAUAAGAGACCCUGAGCCAGAACUCAAAGUUCUGACCCACGAAAACUAUGAGGCAUUCUUCUAGACAUUGGGGAUACAACAGAGCCUUCAUGACAGUGUCCCCUUGGAGACCCACAUCUCAGCUACCUCGGGCUUUAAACAUUUUACAAACACCCUCCUUCACAGAUGGAAGUGACCUUUCA